rnacentral:rRNA from 1 species
GACGAACGCUGGCGGCGUGCUUAACACAUGCAAGUCGAACGGAAAGGCCCUGCUUUUGUGGGGUGCUCGAGUGGCGAACGGGUGAGUAACACGUGAGUAACCUGCCCUUGACUUUGGGAUACCUUCGGGGAACUGGGGCUAAUACCGGAUAGGACCUCCUGUUCAUGGGGGGGGUUGGAAAGUUUUCGGCGGUUGGGGUUGGACUCGCGGCUUUUCAGCUUGUUGGUGGGGUAGUGGCUUACCAAGGUUUUGAGGGGUAGCCGGCCUGAGGGGGUGACCGGCCACAUUGGGACUGAGAUACGGCCCAGACUCCUACGGGAGGCAGCAGUGGGGAAUAUUGCACAAUGGGCGGAAGCCUGAUGCAGCAACGCCGCGUGCGGGAUGACGGCCUUCGGGUUGUAAACCGCUUUCGCCUGUGACGAAGCGUGAGUGACGGUAAUGGGUAAAGAAGCACCGGCUAACUACGUG